UAGAGAAGUUGCUUAGAGUCUGUCAGAAUUAUGCUUAGAGGAGCAGAAAUGCCCGGCCAUGGACGGCUGGGCAAGGCGUUAUGCGCCAUGGACGGCGCAUAAAAGCCGGUUUCGUCUGUCAUAGAAAGAUUAAAAGCAUAAUUCCUACAGACUCUUAGCAGCGUAGCGU
rfam:[Eubacterium rectale] ATCC 33656 chromosome, complete genome.